rnacentral:rRNA from 1 species
AUGUCGUUGGUGAGGUUCUUCGACACGCUGGCCCUGGACUCGUGGAACCCCUUCGGCAGCAUCUUCGGCACCACGGCGUCCAGCGGCACCGACGCCUGGCUGGCCAGCGACACGACGGCGUUCGCCGACACCUACAUCGAGAGCCGGGAGACGGCGGAGGCCUACGUGUUCAGCGCCAGGCUCCCCGCGGGCGUCACCAAGGAGGAGGUCAAGGUGGAGGUGGAGGAGGAGGGCAAGGUGCUGGUCAUCGCCGGCGAGCGGAACCUGCGGAGGGAGGCCAAGAGCGAGACGCGCCACCACGUCGAGCGCAGCGUCGCCACCUUCUUCGGCAGGUUCCACCUCCCCGACGACGCCGCCCUGGGCCAGGUCAGGGCCGCCAUGGACGACGGCGGCGCGCAGCUCAUCGUCACAGUGCCCAGGGCCGGCGUCGCCGUUGCUGCCGUGACCAUGCCCGAGCCGGCCGUGGCCAUCGAGGUCGGCGAGGCCAGCCCGUGCUGA